UACGUAGGGUGCAAGCGUUGUCCGGAAUUAUUGGGCGUAAAGAGCUCGUAGGCGGUUUGUCGCGUCAUGCGUGUGAAAACCCGAGGCUCAACCUCGGGCCUGCAGUGGGUACGGGCAGACUAGAGUGCGGUAAGGGGAGAUUGGAAUUCCUGGUGUAGCGGUGGAAUGCGCAGAUAUCAGGAGGAACACCGAUGGCCGAAGGCAGAU
rnacentral:rRNA from 1 species